GCAUUUAUGGCCUAAUUGAUAAGGUGCUUGAGUAAUAAUCAAGUGAUUGUGGGUUUGAGUCUCACUAGUUAUG
rnacentral:tRNA from 1 species